rnacentral:lncRNA from 1 species
UUUUCGAUAUUAGUAUUUCACACAUGCAGGCAAGCUAUCGACUCAAAGAGGAAAGGAAUGGCAAUGCCAGUCAGAGAGUCACAAGCACCUACUCCCAACUUUUAAACAUUUUUCCCCAGGAGUUAUCUGACUGCUUAUGAUGGUGGAAAGCAUUUUCUGAUACAAACAAUGAAGGACUCUGAGUCGGAUGUAGAGUAAGAGAAGAACAAACACCAAAUCAGUAUUUCCCCUCCCCAGAAAAGAAGCUGAUAAUCAAGACACAGGUAGAGCUUGAAAAUACUUUAGUGAAAGGGGUUUUAUUGGGAGUAAUUGGAGAUUUAGACAACAAAAACCCUCCAGUGCUAAAAGCAGUCUGCUUUAACCCAGCURUUUGAUUAUAUAUUGGUGUGUUAAUGGAUUGCUCAUUUCAGGUUCAUUUUGCCCAACUGGAGGGGAACAAGUGUCCUCAUGAAAAUGAAAGAGAAGGGGCAAGCCAGCUGGCUUUGAGCUGGAGAUGGGGCAGCUCUCCUGCAGGAUCUGGUGGCUGCUGUGAAGRUGAAGGUUCAGAGAAACCUCAGCUGGACACAGGAAAAGAGGCUCACUCRGACGAAUGUCAAAGCAAAGAAGAGGUGAAAUUCUGGGCUUGGAGGAAAUGGCAGAAGGGUGCUUGA